rnacentral:misc_RNA from 1 species
GCAGCAUUACCACCUCUCAAAGUCAACUUUGAUAAAAGCAAUCACUAUGCAGAUCAAAAUGCGUACACAAGUACAUGUAUAAUCACUGAGUCGGUUAGUAUCAGUUGCUUAGAAGCAUUGUCUAGGACACAUAUUCAUAUGUAGUGGAUACAAUCAUGGGCAAUAUUGUUGAAAAAAUUAUCAAAGAAAAUUUAUAUAUUGAAAAAAAACAACAAGAAGCUUUUGUUCAGAUCUAAUGAACCUUACCAGUAGAGUCUGGAGGCAUGGU